CUUUAAUAACAAAGGCAACACUGUUUUGCACGCGACCAGUGCCCACCCUGAACCACUCUUGGAUAGCAUUCCUUACAGCCAGUUCCUGAGGCUCAAAAGAAACUGCACCAGAGACACAGAUUUCCACGCUGCAGCUAAUGAUCUAUACUGUAGAUUACUCUCCAGGGGCUACAGUCGAUCCUUGCUCAAAAGAUCAUUCAACAAGGUGAUCAGACUAGACCGAUCUAAUCUUAUUUAUUCAAAUGCCAACAAACAACCUAAUAAAACUGACUCUAUCAGAAUAGUGACCAAAUUUUCGCAACAGCAUAUUCAAAUGCGACAGAUUUUUAAAAAAUUUUGGCCCCUACUUCUAGCCGACAAUACGAUAUCAAAAUAUAUAAAACCAUAUCCUGAAAUCACAUUUAAACGGACUCCCUCACUGAGGGAUCGCCUUGUCCAAAGUCACCACACCAGAAAGGAAUGUGAGACAUCUACUAUUAAAGGUACUUUUUCUUGUGGUAACUGUGACAUUUGUCGGUUUAUAUAUACCAAUGACGUCACUCUUUUACCCAACGGUCGCAUUCACAAACUAAAGUUCCGUGUCACCUGUCAAUCGGUGGGCGUCGUCUACUUGGCAUCUUGCCAAUGUGGAUGUUUCUAUGUUGGCAAGACCAAGAGACCGUUUUUUAAACGCAUUAGAGACCAUGUCAACCCUCUAUAUAAGCGUCUAAUGACCACUGCUUUAAAUAGACAUGUAGGUUGCCUACAUGACUUUGAUCUUAACGCUGUAAGUUUCUCAGCCCUGGAGCAUGUUCCUAUACAUGUUCGAGGUGGAGGAAUUGACCAGACCUUACUCCAACUUGAAACCAAAUGGAUACAUCAGUUAGAUGCCACUAAAUUUCCGGGGUUGAACGAAUAUAUCAGUUUCAAGCCCUUUCUGUGAAAGAAAUAUUUAUAAGAAAUUCUAUUAUUAUUAAAUAAAAUGGUGUGGCCUCUACGUUAUUCCAUCUAAGAAAGGUGUUAUGGUCUGGUCAUUUCCUCCCUCCUCAUUACAUCCUGCUCUAUUGCCACUCUCCAGCAGGUCCUACAUGUAUUCUACUUUGACCACCAAACUCUUUGCCCCAUAUUCCACCUAGUGGGCAAGUUCCGGCACUGGCUAAAAUCAACCCACCUGCUCCCAUUUAUGAUGGGGGCAAUAAUGUGUUAUAUAUUGCUAUAUAUCAUUAUAACAACCACAUUUACUUCCUUUGAAUAUUGAUGUAUAAUUUAUGAAUCAAUAAUAAUGUUGUCGAUUUUUGAUUGUAUGUAUUGAAAUAUACUGAAUACAUAUGUUUGUACAUAUAGUGUAAACCCUACAUUUUUCAUUUUAUUGGUAAAUAUGUUGUAUAUAAUUUUUUAUUUUGGCUUGGGUCUCUGGCUUGGCAAUUUUUCCUUUCUGGGUUCACCUAUAUGUGGGACUAGCUUGAGCCCUAAUUAGUUCUGGAGGUAAUGCGCAUCCUUCCCAAUAAGCCACUACAGCCCUUUUCCAUACAUCAGCCCAUUCACAUCCCUGUUCAGGGUCUCUCUCCCCUUCUUAUUAGUGAUUUUUUGUUUGUCUUAAUUCUUUAUUAUAUUUUGACUUCUACAAUAUAUGAUCUACUGCUUUUGCUUUCAUGUUUGAUUGUUUGGUUUGCCUUGAUCAGUCAGCUUGCGGUCAUGGUCCACGCCGCUCUGUGUAUGUGUGACUGUUUUGGUGCUGCUGGCUGGCAAUCGCUCUCUUUUAGUGCUCUGUGUUCCUCCCCUCUGCACUCAUACGUUUCCUUCCUUUUUUCCUUUUUCUCCAGAGUGCGGCUCCGCUGAUUGGCCGGUGUCAUCAUAUGACACGGCUGCUUCAGCGCUAAGGAGUGUGGGAAUUGUAGGCAUCUCAGCGACCAUGUGACCUCUGAGAUCCAAUCGCGAUGCACCCGCCUCCCCAACAGGCUAUAUAUAGCAUGAUAUGAUCAUUAUCUGUCUGCUACCAACAGGGUACUGACAGAUGUCUUUAUUCCUCUUAAAGAUAGAUGAAUUGAGGCUCUUCAGUGCCCAUGUUAUUGUCUUACUUAAUUCCCCUGUAUUCACCUUGAUUUUAUUACGCUUCAAGUCCUGUCAGUUGAACUUGGAUUUCAAUAUCCACCCUGAGGGGGUUUUUCCUUGACUGGCUGUGCAUGAAGCUAGGAGUAAUCUAGAGAGACGAUCUUGUCCUAAUUCCCCUGAAGAAGCCAAGAGGCGAAACUAGUAGGGUCGACCUGAUCGAAAAAAUUAUUUCUAGAUCUUGCUCCCACAAAAUAAUGUAUGCACUAUCUGUAUAUUGAAUUACUAUAUUUUGUAAAAAUUGAAUGAAUAAACCUUUUUUAUA